UGAUAUUUUUAGGCGAUUUUCAUUUGUACGAAUAUUCUUAAAAAAUUAUCGUGUUACCAUGACAACUACUUUAGAUACUUCAUGUUCAGAAAAUACAACGGUUUUGUCAGCAAGGCGAGGGUUUCUGCAUGCAUGUAUUUUCUAGUACACAGAUUAAUUUGGACGCAGAAAGUCACCAGUACUGGAACGGGUCGACCGAUGACAAGGUCUUUCAAUGUACUUAUCAAUGUCAAGAUCAUACAGCCCCGCUUUGCAUUUAUAAUAGAACACAAUGUCCUUUAUUUCCAGCCAAUAUGAGAUAGGAAUCAAGUUUAAUUUCUUUAAGCGAUCCGCGAGUAAGACGACUCGUAGUCUUGCAGAAUAACUUUCGUGGCGCGACGUUGAACACUCUCAAGACGUAGCAGAUCAGAAGAUGGAACCUGGGGUGUCCAGACUUCAGAGCCAUGAGAGAACUGCGAUCUAACAAGAGUUAUAUACAGAAGACGUCUGCAGUCAACGUUCGCGAGGUAGAAACAAUUUCGCCGAACAAACCCGAGC